UCGCUUCUUGGCCUUUUGGCUAAGAUCAAGUG
rnacentral:snRNA from 1 species